rnacentral:rRNA from 1 species
AUUGAACGCUGGCGGCAUGCCUUACACAUGCAAGUCGAACGGUAACGGGCCUUCGGUUGCCGACGAGUGGCGAACGGGUGAGUAAUAUAUCGGAACGUACCUUUCAGUGGGGGAUAACGUAGCGAAAGUUACGCUAAUACCGCAUAUUCUGUGCGCAGGAAAGCAGGGGACCUUCGGGCCUUGCGCUGAUUGAGCGGCCGAUAUCAGAUUAGCUAGUUGGUGAGGUGAAGGCUCACCAAGGCGACGAUCUGUAGCGGGUCUGAGAGGAUGAUCCGCCACACUGGAACUGAGACACGGUCCAGACUCCUACGGGAGGCAGCAGUGGGGAAUUUUGGACAAUGGGGGCAACCCUGAUCCAGCCAUGCCGCGUGAGUGAAGAAGGCCUUCGGGUUGUAAAGCUCUUUCGGCCGGGAAGAAAUCGUAUGGGCUAAUACCCUGUGCGGAUGACGGUACCGGCAUAAGAAGCACCGGCUAACUACGUGCCAGCCGCCGCAGUAA